rnacentral:rRNA from 1 species
UACGAAGGGGGCUAGCGUUGUUCGGAUUUACUGGGCGUAAAGCGCACGUAGGCGGUUUGUUAAGUCAGGGGUGAAAUCCUGGAGCUCAACUCCAGAACUGCCCUUGAUACUGGCAAGCUAGAGUCCGGAAGAGGUGAGUGGAACUCCUAGUGUAGAGGUGGAAUUCGUAGAUAUUAGGAAGAACACCAGUGGCGAAGGCGGCUCACUGGUCCGGUACUGACGCUGAGGUGCGAAAGCGUGGGGAGCAAACAGG